rnacentral:piRNA from 1 species
UUAUUAUUGUAACAUGUGUUUGGUGGAAG